GACUGCGUCUUCUCCCCAUCAUCUUUGUUUUAUGUUUAUGUUUUGUGCUGCUAUUGUGGUCCUAGUGACAGAUGUUCAAACUGUACACUACACCUCUGCAACAGCGGAGGAUACAAGUGCAUUUAUUUUUCCAAGAUGGCGUCACUAUGAAGGCUGCUGGUUGGAGAGCUCUGAGCUCUUGUGUAUCCUCAUUUUGUCUUCUUGAGGUUUCCCCCUAGUUUUAAUGUGAUUUUUGACUUUUGGGACUGCACAACAAAAGGUGGCAGUUGCAUGACGUGACUUCUGCGAUGCUUUUUUGUGACGUUUUGGAUCUGCCGGGGUAGCCUUUUGGCAAUGGCCUUGUUUGCACCGGAGACCAGCUGCUGGAUCUCUGCGCAUGUGGAGAGACCGGAAGAGAUGCGGAGGCAACGACAGUCUCCACUUCGGUAUCCCUUGGCAAAUUGUCGCUCAUUCGCGAGGCCUGGACAUUGGCCAAGAGCUAGUGGGCAACCUAGAACUGAGUCGGCUCUCUUGGUCGCUUUUUUGAGUCCGUAGCGGUCCCUAGCCGUGCUGCUCCUUUCCCCAGCAGACGAUGGUGUGGAGCACUGCAAAGGCCACGCUGAAUGUAGAAAUGGUGUCGCUGAAGUGGUAGCUGGUUGCAUCAGGUCUGUGCUCUUUUAUUGUAUGUCCUUUUCUGUUUUCCUCUGUGUUUUUUUUUUUUCUUUAAUUAAUUUUGGUGGACUUUUUGUUUCUGCACUGCAACAAAAUAUUUUCCUAUUGUGGGAUAAAUACAAUCCAUCCUGUCCUAUAUCUCAAGGCACUACCCAUACCAAGAAGGUCUACGAUGAGCAAGCGCUUUGGCUACAGAGGCAAGGGAAACAACAGACUGGCAGUGUAUGAGGCAGAGGGUAGAGAGAGAAAUGAAUUGUAAAGUGAAUUAUAUUUAUAUAGCACUUUUCUCUAAAGACACAAAGCGCUUUACAUUUAAACCAGUAUGGGGGAAAAUAAGGAAACAGACAAUACGGAAAAGAGUCUGUACAGAUUAGCUUCGCCUUCAGUAGGACCAUCCUUAACCAUGGUUGUUGUUUUUAGGUUUCACAGCAAUUUAACUUAGUUUUAUGCUUGUGUGGCAAUCACAAUUUCUUAAAAUAUUUAAUUGUGUUUUUUUCCAGCGAUGUUUGACAACUGAAACAGAUUAUCUAUACAAGGACGUAUGUAUAGCAAUACCAACGAACAACGCCAACAACACUUGUAAUUAAUUGUAUGUUUCGGGGAUUUUUACAUUGCUGAUUAAUUAUUUGAUGUAAAUAAUGUGCUCAUUUGUUCAGAACAAACCUGUAAUUGACAUCAAAUAGAGUGGAAUCGUCUUCGUCGUCAUUCUCGUCGUUGAGCGGGGCCAUCUCUACUCUCUCAGCUGGUGUCGUGAUAAUGUCAUACUUUCGGGUUUUCCGGAUUCUUCUCCCAGA